CUCUUCCUGUGUGAAACAGGGACAAUGUACCUAGCCCAAAAGCAGCCCUGGGAAAGUAGCUGGGAUCCCAUAGGUGACAGGUAUGAGUGUCAUCCUUGACACAGCUCCUGUCCUGGGAGGCUCUGAGCCCCAGACCUCAGCAUGGUACCCUGUGUAAGGGGGCCAGGAGUUGAGUAGAACCUGUGGAGUCACCGGUAGUGGAAGAAACUCUUGAAGAAGCUAAGGGAGGACCGAGAAUGGGAAGAAGGGAGGAGAGGUGAGACCCAUGCUGAGGAAGCUGCCACCUGACAGAACACAGCCAGGCCUCUGCCGAAGGGACUGGUGGCGUCUGGGAGGCUGCUCCUGGGCCCUGCUUUAGGGCCUGCUGCCAAGACACAACCAGAAUCCUCUCGUGAAGGGGACUGUGCUGAGGAGAGACCCUUGCCCUGGGGUGGCGAGCAUGCUGGUCCCUGGGCCAGCAGUGUCUUCACCAAGGAGGUGUGGACAAAGAGUCCUGCUUGGAAUCAGGGGAAGUCAGACUAACAUUACACAGAAAGAUGGCAGUAAUUUAUUCAUCGGCCCCACUGUAGUCAGUCUCCACACCAGUAAAAAAGGUUCUAAGCAUCUAUAUUCCCCAGAUAAAGUUUGUGAUAUCCCUGCAGGCUCCAAGAAUCAGGAGUCAUCAACAUGUGAGCAGUCUGUUCACAACAAGCCUCAAUGCAGGUGACUAUCCUGUCCUGCCUACACACAACAGUCUUAGGGCGACUCCCCUGAAGUGUCAUCUGCUGUGACACCUUGGCAGACAACUUCCCACUUAAGGAUGGCACUCCCAGGACUUGGCAGCUACUACACGAGUCCAUCUGACCAGGAGAAUGACCACGCUGCCUUCUGCAUACUGUGUCCCAGAGGGCUAUCCAGGGGCAAUAUGACCCCAUGUUCUGGUCAAGGUGGCUGGGCUGGAGCAGGGUCUCACCUGUAGCCCUGGCCGGCCUGGAACCUGCAGAGAUCCAAGUGCCUCUGCCUCCCCACUCCUGGAAUUAAAGGUUUGUGCCA